rnacentral:rRNA from 1 species
UACGUAGGUGGCAAGCGUUGUCCGGAAUUAUUGGGCGUAAAGCGCGCGCAGGCGGUCCUUUAAGUCUGAUGUGAAAGCCCACGGCUCAACCGUGGAAGGUCAUUGGAAACUGGAGGACUUGAGUACAGAAGAGGAAAGCGGAAUUCCACGUGUAGCGGUGAAAUGCGCAGAUAUCAGGAGGAACACCCGUGGCGAAGGCGGCAAUCUGGGGGACACCUGACGCUGAGGCGCGAAAGCUAGGGGAGCGAACGGG